UACAGAGGUCCCAAGCGUUGUUCGGAUUCAUUGGGCGUAAAGGGUGCGUAGGCGGCGCGGUAAGUCGGGUGUGAAAUCUCGGGGCCUAACUCCGAAACUGCAUUCGAUACUGCCGUGCUUGAGGACUGGAGAGGAGACUGGAAUUUACGGUGUAGCGGUGAAAUGCGUAGAUAUCGUAAGGAAGACCAGUGGCGAAGGCGGGUCUCUGGACAGUUCCUGACGCUGAGGCACGAAGGUCAGGGGAGCAAACGGG
rnacentral:rRNA from 1 species